rnacentral:rRNA from 1 species
GGGCUUGACAUCCCACGAACCUGCCCGAAAGGGUAGGGUGCCCGCAAGGGAGCGUGGAGACAGGUGGUGCACGGCUGUCGUCAGCUCGUGUCGUGAGAUGUUGAGUUAAGUCCCGCAACGAGCGCAACCCUCGCCCCUUGUUGCCACCGGGUUAUGCCGAGCACUCUAGGGGAACUGCCAGCGUCAAGCUGGAGGAAGGCGGGGAUGACGUCAAGUCAUCAUGCCCCUUACGCCCUGGGCGACACACGUGCUACAAUGGCUGGUACAAAGGGAUGCAAGACCGCGAGGUGGAGCUAAUCCCAAAAAACCGGUCUAAGUUCAGAUUGCAGUCUGCAACUCGACUGCAUGAAGGAGGAAUCGCUAGUAAUCGCGCAUCAGCACGGCGCGGUGAAUACGUUCCCGGGCCUUGUACACACCGCCCGUCACACCACGAAAGCCGGCUGUACUCGAAGUCGCUGAG